rnacentral:rRNA from 1 species
AUGCAGUCGAACGGUAGCACAGAGAGCUUGCUCUCGGGUGACGAGUGGCGGACGGGUGAGUAAUGUCUGGGAAACUGCCUGAUGGAGGGGGAUAACUACUGGAAACGGUAGCUAAUACCGCAUAACGUCGCAAGACCAAAGAGGGGGACCUUCGGGCCUCUUGCCAUCAGAUGUGCCCAGAUGGGAUUAGCUAGUAGGUGGGGUAACGGCUCACCUAGGCGACGAUCCCUAGCUGGUCUGAGAGGAUGACCAGCCACACUGGAACUGAGACACGGUCCAGACUCCUACGGGAGGCAGCAGUGGGGAAUAUUGCACAAUGGGCGCAAGCCUGAUGCAGCCAUGCCGCGUGUAUGAAGAAGGCCUUCGGGUUGUAAAGUACUUUCAGCGGGGAGGAAGGUGUUGUGGUUAAUAACCGCAGCAAUUGACGUUACCCGCAGAAGAAGCACCGGCUAACUCCGUGCCAGCAGCCGCGGUAAUACGGAGGGUGCAAGCGUUAAUCGGAAUUACUGGGCGUAAAGCGCACGCAGGCGGUCUGUCAAGUCGGAUGUGAAAUCCCCGGGCUCAACCUGGGAACUGCAUUCGAAACUGGCAGGCUAGAGUCUUGUAGAGGGGGGUAGAAUUCCAGGUGUAGCGGUGAAAUGCGUAGAGAUCUGGAGGAAUACCGGUGGCGAAGGCGGCUUCCCUGGACAAAGACUGACGCUCAGGUGCGAAAGCGUGGGGAG